AACGAACGCUGGCGGCAGGCCUAACACAUGCAAGUCGAGCGGACCCUUCGGGGUUAGCGGCGGACGGGUGAGUAACGCGUGGGAAUAUGCCCUUCUCUACGGAAUAGUCCUGGGAAACUGGGGUAAUACCGUAUACGCCCUUUGGGGGAAAGAUUUAUCGGGGAAGGAUUAGCCCGCGUUGGAUUAGGUAGUUGGUGGGGUAAUGGCCUACCAAGCCGACGAUCCAUAGCUGGUUUGAGAGGAUGAUCAGCCACACUGGGACUGAGACACGGCCCAGACUCCUACGGGAGGCAGCAGUGGGGAAUCUUAGACAAUGGGGGCAACCCUGAUCUAGCCAUGCCGCGUGAGUGAUGAAGGCCUUAGGGUUGUAAAGCUCUUUCAGCUGGGAAGAUAUGACGGUACCAUCAGAAGAAGCCCCGGCUAACUCCGUG
rnacentral:rRNA from 1 species